rnacentral:rRNA from 1 species
UUGAACGCUGGCGGCAUGCCUAACACAUGCAAGUCGAACGGCAGCACAGCAGUAGCAAUACUGUGGGUGGCGAGUGGCGGACGGGUGAGGAAUACGUCGGAAUCUGCCCAGUCGUGGGGGAUAACUAGCCGAAAGGUUAGCUAAUACCGCAUACGACCGAGAGGUGAAAGCGGGGACCGCAAGGCCUCGCGCGAUUGGAUGAGUCGACGUCGGAUUAGCUAGUUGGCGGGGUAAAGGCCCACCAAGGCGACGAUCCGUAGCUGGUCUGAGAGGAUGAUCAGCCACACUGGAACUGAGACACGGUCCAGACUCCUACGGGAGGCAGCAGUGGGGAAUAUUGGACAAUGGGCGCAAGCCUGAUCCAGCAAUGCCGCGUGUGUGAAGAAGGCCUUCGGGUUGUAAAGCACUUUUAUCAGGAACGAAAAGCGUUGGAUUAAUACUCUGACGUGCUGACGGUACCUGAGGAAUAAGCACCGGCUAACUUCGUG